rnacentral:misc_RNA from 1 species
CGAUAUUUCCUGAAAGAAAACCUGAUCCAGUUGAAAGAAUAAAACAAAUUCAAUCAUCUGUGGGAAAGUCUAACACGUAUGUGCUGCCUACACCUAUUGAUGCUAAGGGUGUAGUCUCUUCAAGAACAAGUGGUUCAGUUGCCCACACAAGGCCAACUGACCUCAGUGGACGCACCCAUAAUUUGUGGCAUUCAUCCCCACUGGAACAGAAGAAGCAUGAAAAAGAUCCUGGUGACAGUCAUCUGUCAGAGUUCACCGUCUUUAAAGCACGAUCGGCACACAAAGAGAGCAACAGUAACAAUGCCUCCAACCAGUUACCCCCUCCUUUAGUGGAAGGAACUUCACUUCCACAGCUGGAUACAUAUAAUGCAUCCGAUAACAAAAAAAUUAAAUGGCAAUCUUUCUCUGGUCCAAUAACUAGUAAGCCAUGGUCUACAAAGCCUGCUUUAUCUGCCAGUGGCCCCAUCUCCUCUAACGAACUUCCCAAACAAGUUUCUGGAGUGCUUCCACGUGUAAUAAUUCCUCAGACUACAUCUCCAAAGGUGUCCCCAACUGCUUCACCUCCCCUUGCAUC